UACGUAGGUGGCAAGCGUUGUUCGGAAUUAUUGGGCGUAAAGGGCGCGUAGGCGGUUGGUUAAGUCAGCUGUGAAAGCCCGGGGCUCAACCCCGGAGGGUCGGCUGAUACUGAUUGACUAGAGUACGGAAGAGGUAGCUGGAAUUCCCGGUGUAGCGGUGGAAUGCGUAGAGAUCGGGAAGAACAUCAGUGGCGAAGGCGGCCUGCUGGGCUGUUGCUGACGCUGAGGCGCGACAGCGUGGGGAGCAAACAGG
rnacentral:rRNA from 1 species